GGGGAAGAGAAGGAAGAGUGAUGGACAGAUGAUGACCAGCACAGAGCGCAGCCACCCACCGCCAAUGAGAGAGGUUCCUGGCAGAAAACCGCCCUGCAGCCAAUUCAUCUCGACGUGUACUAGCUGACCUCUGCUACCUCAGGUAGAUGAUGAGUCAGAGCCGACGACAGCUCUGGCCUCGGGUCAAGGUGUCUGCAUCGUCGCCCAGGCGACCAGGAGACUCUCCAGAGCAGCAGGAAAGUGACCUUCCAGCCUGAUCCCUCCGGUGGUCCCCUCUCUGCCUUGCUUUAGAUCAAUGUUUUCCAGCCUGAGAUAAGGAGCUUACCCAGGUACACUCUUCCACCGUCCCCCCAGCUUUUCAGCAUGCCUGCACCAGAUCAGGUUCCUCUUCAAAUUAUUCCCUGUAACUCGUGCUCUUAUGAAUCCCAAUCAGGUCUCUGUUGUGGCUGAGAGAAUCAGUUUUUUUUCCUUCCACUGCCCAGACUACACAAAAAGGUUCGUCUGUGUGUAAAGCAGUUGUCUGAAGGGUCAGAAAUUCAAAUCAUUACUAAUCCUCUCAUUUGUCAGGAUUAAAAUUCACAUAGUUAUUUGCCAAUAUAUAUUAGUGUGUAGAGCACGAAGAAAAAGCCAUUACAAAAUAGAAGAUUUUAUUUUUUUUAAAGAGCUACCAUGAAUAGGUCCAGAAUGUUUCCUUCAUGAUGUAUACAGUUAUGUUCACAUUGGGAAUUUGACCAACUAUCUAAGUUUAUACACUCUGGGUCCAACUCCAGCACAGCAAUGUCAAAGGUGUUGUAGAAAACAUCUCGCCGUCACAAAUGCACACGCGUGCGCGCACUGUGAGCAUAAAACACAUUUUCAGUCAUCAUAGC